UCGAAGGCAAUUUCGGCAGAAGAGCAGCUCUCGCUGCUUAGUAACCGAUAGUUCGACAGACUGAACUAUGCCCACUCUGUACGGCCAGCUUGCCGCUGUGCAGGGUCCACUAUGCAAGACGCAGUACGGGGAUGAGAAUUAACCGUAUCAAGACUUUUCUCGAGGAGCGUAUCUCUUAAAACUGCUUUGUUUUAGCUCAGGUUGAGGAAGCUUUCCUUGCUGAAACGAGAUAAAAUGCACCUACGCUCGUAGAUGUUUGCUGCAUUCCAUUUCGGACAGGGGUUCGAUUCCCCUCGUCUCCACCA
rnacentral:tmRNA from 1 species